ensembl:lncRNA
GGCUGUGGCUCUCCAGGACCAAUGCUCGCCACCCCUGGUCUAGACAGUGUACAAAUAUAUGACAUUUUUAUGGUGGUCUGUCAGUUAUUAUUUAUAUGAAAACAGAGGACGACUGAAGUAUGAACAAAAUGCAACAAUACUGAGAUGUUGCACAAUGCAGCUGUUUGGACUCUCAUUCUGAUGGCACCCAUCCACUGCAGAAGAUCCAUUGGUGAGCAAGUGAUGGGAUACAAAAAUUCUCCAAAUCUCUUCUGAUAAAGAAACAAACUCAUCCACCUCUUGGAUGGCCUAGGUUUAUGCCGAGAAUCAACCUUGGUGGCAUCUAAUGCCAUUCAAAGUCAUAGAUCAGAUGGAAUUCUGGAAAGAGGGUGCAAAGAAAAAGCAUCAGCCUGAAUACCCUCCUGGUGUUUCUUAUCAGAGAACUUGUCAGAGAACCGGUAUAAUUACCAAACAUUUAACACAACAUCACAAACAAAAUUUUUACUGUAUUUUAUUUUGUCAUGCUACAGAUACAAAGUCCCCAGGGGACUGUCGGGACCUUUUUCAGCUAGUGCAUGUUAAAGGUGAAGAUUUGUAAUUUGUGUUUUAAAAAGAAAAUGUUGAACAACUAAAAAAAGAAUAUUAUCAGGACAAUUUGGAAGAGGCAAUUAGGAGUUAUUGUGUUUUUAUUAUUAUUAUUAUUAUUUUUUUUAUUUAUAGGGUUGGGGGUGGA